UACGUAGGGGGCAAGCGUUGUCCGGAUUUAUUGGGCGUAAAGAGCGUGUAGGCGGUCCGAUAAGUCGGAUGUGAAAGCCCUGGGCUCAACCUAGGAAGUGCAUUCGAAACUGUCGGACUUGAGUACGGGAGAGGGUUGCGGAAUUCCCGGUGUAGAGGUGAAAUUCGUAGAUAUCGGGAGGAACACCAGUGGCGAAGGCGGCUCACUGGCCCGGUACUGACGCUGAGGCGCGAAAGCGUGGGGAGCAAACAGG
rnacentral:rRNA from 1 species